UGGGGAAUCUUGGACAAUGGGGGCAAGCCUGACCCAGCCACGCCGCGUGAGUGAUGAAGGCCUUCGGGUCGUAAAGCUCUGUGGGGAGGGACGAAAACGCGCAGGAGGAAAUGCCUGCGUCUUGACGGUACCUCCUUAGCAAGCACCGGCUAACUCUGUGCCAGCAGCCGCGGUAAUACAGAGGGUGCGAACGUUGCUCGGAUUUACUGGGCGUAAAGCGCGUGUAGGCGGGCUCGCAAGUCGGUUGUGAAAUCCCUGGGCUCAACCUAGGAACUGCAUCCGAAACUGCUUGCCUUGAGUAAUGGAGAGGGUGGCGGAAUUCCCGGUGUAGAGGUGAAAUUCGUAGAUAUCGGGAGGAACAUCAGUGGCGAAGGCGGCCACCUGGACAUUCACUGACGCUGAGACGCGAAAGCGUGGGGAGCAAACAGGAUUAGAUACCCGCGUAGUCC
rnacentral:rRNA from 1 species